GGUCCUGUGGCCUAAUGGCUAAGGCGUUGCUUUCCGGUGGCAAAGACUCCAGGUUCGAGUCCUGGCAGGAUCG
rfam:Togninia minima TCRPA7 unplaced genomic scaffold PA7_03_scaffold_292, whole genome shotgun sequence.